GGGUUCUACCGUUGGUCGGGCUAUAGUCUGUACUGGCGUGUGGAAUUUCUACCUUCUGGGGAACUAUCAUGUUAUUAAUUUAGCGUGGUAGGAAACCAGAACCUUUACCUUGAAAAAAUUAGAGUGUUUAAAGCAGGCAAUUUUUGCUUGAAUACAUUAGCAUGGAAUAAUAGAAUAGGA
rnacentral:rRNA from 1 species